CACGUAGGGUGCGAGCGUUGUCCGGAAUUAUUGGGCGUAAAGAGCUCGUAGGCGGUCUGUCGCGUCCGUUGUGAAAACUCGAGGCUCAACCUCGGGCUUGCAGUGGAUACGGGCAGACUAGAGUGCGGUAGGGGAGACUGGAAUUCCUGGUGUAGCGGUGGAAUGCGCAGAUAUCAGGAGGAACACCCGUGGCGAAGGCGGCACGUCUGGGACGGUACUGACGCUGAGACGCGAAAGCGUGGGAGCGAAGCAGGAUGAGAU
rnacentral:rRNA from 1 species